CAGUGGGGAAUAUUGCACAAUGGGCGAAAGCCUGAUGCAGCGACGCCGCGUGAGGGAUGACGGCCUUCGGGUUGUAAACCUCUUUCAGUAGGGAAGAAGCGAAAGUGACGGUACCUGCAGAAGAAGCGCCGGCUAACUACGUGCCAGCAGCCGCGGUAAUACGUAGGGCGCAAGCGUUAUCCUGAAUUAUUGGGCGUAAAGAGCUCGUAGGCGGUUUGUCGCGUGUGGUGUGAAAGGCCAGGGCUCAACCCUGGUUAUGCAGUGGGUACGGGCAGACUUGAGUGAUGUAGGGGAGACUGGAAUUCCUGGUGUAGCGGUGAAAUGCGCAGAUAUCAGGAGGAACACCGAUGGCGA
rnacentral:rRNA from 1 species